UACGGAGGAGGCAAGCGUUAUCCGGAAUCACUGGGUGUAAAGCGCGUGUAGGCGGCCUGUCAAGUCUGCUGUGAAAGCGCCUGGCUUAACCGGGCGAGGUCGGUGGAAACUGGCGGGCUGGAGGACGGUAGAGGGGGGUGGAAUUCCCGGUGUAGUGGUGAAAUGUGUAGAGAUCGGGAGGAACACCAGUGGCGAAGGCGGCCCCCUGGGCCGCUCCUGACGCUGAGACGCGAAGGCGCGGGGAGCGAACGGG
rnacentral:rRNA from 1 species